rnacentral:rRNA from 1 species
UCUGGUUGAUCCUGGCAGAGGCCACUGCUAUCGGAGUUCGAUUAAGCCAUGCGAGUCGAGAGGUGUAAGACCUCGGCAUACUGCUCAGUAACACGUGGACAACCUACCCUGAAGAGGGGGAUAACCCCGGGAAACUGGGGAUAAUACCCCAUAGACUAUGGAUGCUGGAAUGCUUUGUAGUUGAAAGGUCCGCCGCUUCAGGAUGGGUCUGCGGCCGAUUAGGUUGUUGUUGGGGUAACGGCCCAACAAGCCUGUAAUCGGUACGGGUUGUGGGAGCAAGAGCCCGGAGAUGGAUUCUGAGACACGAAUCCAGGCCCUACGGGGCGCAGCAGGCGCGAAAACUUUACAAUGCGAGCAAUCGUGAUAAGGGAACUCCGAGUGCCUGUAAAAUCAGGCUGUCCGCCAGUGUAAAUAACUGGUGAAGAAAGGGCCGGGCAAGACCGGUGCCAGCCGCCGCGGUAAUACCGGCGGCUCGAGUGGUGGCCACUAUUACUGGGCUUAAAGCGUUCGUAGCUGGUCUGUUAAGUCUCUGGGGAAAUCUUCCGGCUUAACCGGAAGGCGUCUCAGGGAUACUGGCAGACUAGGGACCGGAAGAGGUGAGAGGUACUCCAGGGGUAGGAGUGAAAUCCUGUAAUCCUUGGGGGACCACCUGUGGCGAAGGCGUCUCACCAGGGCGGCUCCGACAGUGAGGAACGAAAGCUGGGGGAGCAAACCGGAUUAGAUACCCGGGUAGUCCCAGCUGUAAACGAUGCGCGUUAGGUGUAUCGGUGACCACGAGUCACCGAGGUGCCGAAGAGAAAUCGUGAAACGCGCCGCCUGGGAAGUACGGUCGCAAGGCUGAAACUUAAAGGAAUUGGCGGGGGAGCACCACAACGGGUGGAGCCUGCGGUUUAAUCGGACUCAACGCCGGGAAACUCACCGGACAAGACAGCUGAAUGAUAGUCGGGCUGAAGACUCUACUUGACUAGCUGAGAGGAGGUGCAUGGCCGUCGUCAGUUCGUACUGUGAAGCAUCCUGUUAAGUCAGGCAACGAGCGAGACCCA